GGAAGAGUACAGCUCAGUGGUAGAGUGCCUGCUUAGCAUGCACGAGGUCCUGGGUUCAAUUCCCAGUACCUCCA
rfam:Camelus ferus unplaced genomic scaffold scaffold1499, whole genome shotgun sequence.